GGCCCCAUGCCACUACGCGUGGGCAUUUUAAAGUUGUCCAUUUAGGACAUGUCAUUUUUGCAAUAAAGACAUUUUAAUUACGGAGUGCCUCGGCUAUCAGAGAUCUUCUUUUCUCUACACUGCCUUUUAAGAUGUUCAACCUUGGACCGAAGAGCACCCAAAUCAAACUUAAAAUGGAUUGAGCACGCCAUUCAUCUUGAAUCUAAAAAAUAAAUAAAUCUGUUUACUUUCGUGACCACUCUGAAACAAAUGCAAUUGGUUGUUUCAUCUGGUUGCUUUCAUCAAGAUUGGCUAUUCUGACUGUUAUCCAUGAAAUUGACCAAUGACAAAACUAUGUGCCUUCUUAGGUUUAAAAAUAUGUCAGUUUGGUGAUGUGUUUACUAAUCCGCGAGAUUACUUGGUCACUCAGUUCCUGAUUAUGUGCCUGUUAAAUUCUUAUUUUAUACUAAUUUGAGCUGUGACACGUCAACAGAGAACAGAAGCUGGAAUGUGAACACAGAGGAAGAGGCAGACUGCAUGUUUGAAGUCCUGCCAACAGAUAUCAGUGACAAGAAACCUGAUUCGCUGUGAAGGCAACCAGUAGUGAGAACGCCCACUAGCUACCUCAUUGCCAGCCCCUGUGACUGCAUCUUCAUUACAGCCAUUCGGAGGAGGAUCGUCCUUUAUCUGCUACACUGCACUGUCACUUCUGAGCCUCUUAAGAAGAAUGCACUGAUGUCAAAAAUCAACCAGCAAAAAGCUGAGAGGGAACUCUUAAAAUAUGUACAAGAGUCAGAGGAGGACUGAUGGUGUCCAGAAUGCACAAAUUGACUGAACUAAUAAACGGGGAACUGUGAUAAUUCAAGUGGACUACGGAAAUUAAGUUACUUGACUGAACUAAUAAACGGGGAACUGUGAUAAUUCAAGUGGACUACGGAAAUUAAGUUACUGUGAGUAAACCUUUGAAAGGACAUUUCAUAUAAGUGCUCAUUCUAAAGUGAG
ensembl:lncRNA